rnacentral:antisense_RNA from 1 species
UUCAAUGGCGGACCGGAUGGGAGGAGCUAAUGCGCAAGCAAAAGCUCACCGGUUCCUAGAGACCGGCCUUUGAACUCCUGUUUUGGUCUGCCACCUUU